UCGAUGUCGGCUCAUCGCAUCCUGGGGCUGGACAAGGUCCCAAGGGUUGGUCUGUUCGCCCAUUAAAGCGGUACGUGAGCUGGGUUCAGAACGUCGUGAGACAGUUCGGACUCUAUCCAUCGUGGGCGUAGGAGACUUGAGGGAAGCUGCCCAUAGUACGAGAGGACCUGGGUGGACGUACCUCUGAUGUACGAGCUGUCCUGCCAAGGGCACCGCUCGGUAGUCAAGUACGGUCGGGAUAACCGCUGAAGGCAUCUAAGCGGGAAGCCCCUCCCAAGAUUAGGUCUCCCGUGUGAAUCGCCGCAAGGUGAUUUACCCUGAAGGCCCCUGGUAGACUACCAGGUUGAUAGGCCACAGGUGUAAGCGCAGCAAUGCGUUCAGCCGAGUGGUCCUAAUCGGCCGUGCGGCUUGA
rnacentral:rRNA from 1 species